GGUCAGGGAUGAGCUCGCGGCCUAUCAGCUUGUUGGUGAGGUAAUGGCUCACCAAGGCGUCGACGGGUAGCCGGCCUGAGAGGGUGACCGGCCACACUGGGACUGAGACACGGCCCAGACUCCUACGGGAGGCAGCAGUGGGGAAUAUUGCACAAUGGGCGCAAGCCUGAUGCAGCAACGCCGCGUGAGGGAUGACGGCCUUCGGGUUGUAAACCUCUUUUAGCAGGGAAGAAGCGAAAGUGACGGUACCUGCAGAAAAAGCGCCGGCUAACUACGUGCCAGCAGCCGCGGUAAUACGUAGGGCGCAAGCGUUAUCCGGAAUUAUUGGGCGUAAAGAGCUCGUAGGCGGUUUGUCGCGUCUGCUGUGAAAUCCCGAGGCUCAACUUCGGGUCUGCAGUGGGUACGGGCAGACUAGAGUGCGGUAGGGGAGAUUGGAAUUCCUGGUGUAGCGGUGGAAUGCGCAGAUAUCAGGAGGAACACCGAUGGCGAAGGCAGAUCUCUGGGCCGUAACUGACGCUGAGGAGCGAAAGGGUGGGGAGCAAACAGGCUUAGAUACCCUGGUAGUCCACCCCGUAAACGUUGGGAACUAGUUGUGGGGUCCAUUCCACGGAUUCCGUGACGCAGC
rnacentral:rRNA from 1 species